rnacentral:lncRNA from 1 species
CUCAUCUCAUAGUAAUAUCUCAUAAUAACAUCUCAUCCACUCAGAUAGAUUAUCCCAGGGACUGAGGUAUAACCAAUAAUAAUUACAACCCUGCAACUACUACUAUGUGUGCCAAAGGAUCAAAUAACAAAAUUUUUAAAAAUUAUGUGCUUAGAAUUGUUUAUUUUGAAUUACAACUUUAAAUUUCCAAAGUUAAAAAAAUCCAUGCUCACUUUGAAAAACAAAGAGGCAAACAAAAAAUGAAUGAAAUAACCAAGAAUUAAGAAAGUAAAAAGCAAAAGAUUUUUGUCUCUCCUACCUUAUUUCCAUUUUUCAAUUGCUAAAAAUUUGGCAUCAUCAUUUCAGACCUCCAUUCAUCUAUUUACUUACUACCUAUGCAUCCAAAUACCAAAAUAAUUGGAAAAAAAAGUAGUAUGUGCAUUUUUCCCCUUGGAGAUCUAUUUGAGAAGUCAAGUUUUUUAAAUAAGUUUUCCAUAUUUAGAAAAACAAGUUAGAUAAGUCUCAUAUUUGUGCUCCCAUUUUUCAAUAGUUUUGUACAUAUAUCUCAAGUGCCAGUAACUGAGUGUCCUCUAAGCUGAACAACACUUUGAUUUGAAAUGAUUCCAUGAGAAAGUAGCAAACCUCUCUUUGCACAGAAUAUGCAAAUGAUUGGAUAAAAUUUCAGACUAUCAAGUUAAAGCGCAUCAAUUAAGUACAUUUUCAGUAAUAUAAGAAAGCAUUUCAUCAUUAUGUUAUCUAUUAUCAGAAAAGAUGGCUAUUGCUACCAUGUCCAUAAGUUUUAAACAAGGCCAAUGAUGGGAUAGUUAAUUAUACUUCAAUUACAGAUUGAGACCUGCCAACCGUUAAUCAGAGUUUGUCUUUAAGGGUAUAUUUGGCCUCAGCCUUUUGCCAUUCAAUAACCACAGACAGGAACAUUAUAAAGAAAAGCAGCCUUUGUUGGGGGGAGGACUAAAAUAAUCUAUUUCAAGCUUUAAGUUUCUUAUGUUCUCCUACAACAUAUUUUUUAAUCUCUUAUUUCAUGUAUAGAGAGAGCUAUAGAUUAGACAAACAGCUACUCAAAAGCCUAUAUAUGAGGCUAUUCACAUAAUAAAUUACAUCUUCAUAUCUCCUUUCUACACACCAAAAUUCAGUCUCUCGGAAGUAUAACCUAUGUCUAAUUAAAUUAGAAAUUUGAAAUCCCCAAUGAGUCAAGAAUCUUCACAACCAAGCUGCAGAUUUUAUGAAUUUCAAAAAUGAACAUAUUUUCAAUUACAUGGGCAAUAUGUGUUAUUUUUUCCUUUUGGCAAAUAGCCAGAAUAUAUGCAUUUCCCAUUAUACAUGCAUGACUCAUAGAGGAGGAAGUACAUUUAAUGGAAUUGAUGCCUUUUUAAUGGCUGUGUGGCCAUAGGAUUUUCCUAUUGUGUAAACAAAUGGGUGAAUGAGUGAUUAGAUGGUAGUUCUGAGGUAACACUUUGAUGGUGAACACAGGACUGUUGGUGAUAAUGAUAACUAAAUAGUAAAAAAUCUAAAUCCUUUAAAAAAAAAAAAGAAGUUAAAGGGAUGAUAAAAGCCACUGUUGUUGAGGAUGAGAGAACAAGCACCAUCACAAUUUUGAAGGGAGUUUCAACCUUUUCAACAAGUACAAUUUUUUUGGACCAGGAGUGGAUAUAUAGAACAAGUCAAAAUAAAUAAUAGCUAUACUCUUUGACCUGAAAAUCUCUCUUCCAGGAAUAUAUUUACAGAUAUAUUACCAAAAGUAUAAAGAGAAAUUAUUGCAGUAUUUUCUGCCAUAGCAAAAUCUUAGAAAUAGCCUGACCCCUAUCACUUGCAUAGUUGGUAGAAGAUUAAAUCCAGCUUUAUAAAGUUCUUAAGAAGGAGCAUCACAUCAAAAUCAAGUAAUGUGAGAAUGUUGUAAUACAUUGAAACAUAUCGUUAAAUAACCAUGCCAUAUAAGUGUAUUAAAUAUCUAUAUUGUGCUAAUUUUAAAAGAUCACCCAAAUACAUUACUUUACAAAGAAAAAUAAAAGGAAAAAACAAUCUUUCCCUUUUAAACAACAAAGGAAUAUGCACUGAAUUGUAAAUUUUAUUUUUAUUCUGUAAAUUUACUUUAGAAGCUACUAACUUCCUAGUUAACUAUAGGAACUGAGAGUAUAAGUUGAUAAGAAAACGAAUACUUACAUCAUUUGAUUUUUUAUUGUGUGCCUUUAUUAUUUUUUAAUAAGAUUAUUUAUUUUAUUAUGAAAACAGAGUUCCAGCAGAGUCAGAUUUUUUCAUCACGUCCUGAGAUUUUACUGACUCUGCAGGCUACACCAAGUCUUUAUCUCACAAAGUACUGUGACCUGAGGAUGUUGAUAAUUCUCUAAGCCCACAUCCCUCAUUCUUCCUCCCCAGCUCAGCGCAAUGGCAGUUCCUACUGAAGACCAGUGUUUAGGAGUCAGGAAGUUAAUACGAAUCUUCUCUUAAAGGUCACAGUUCCUACAAAACUGAGGCCACGUUAUACAGAUUGAUAUUUAACUAUAGGUUCGUAUUAGAAUCACCGGUAGAACACUGUAAAGACAGAUAUGCAUUGGCUUCAUCUCUGGAAACUCUGACUUAGGAUGCCCAGAAGAACUCGGUCAUUUGUACAAUGAAGUCCCAUUUCUGAUUCUAAUCUAUAGUCCCACUUCCUAUAACAGGUAAGAUAGUUUCAACAUCUUUUCGACCACUUGUGUACAUGUUAACUUAAAAAUGUCAUUACAUUGCUUUUAAACACAGAGAGAGGGAAGUGUUUAAAGGGAUACUUCUGAUUGGCAGUGCUCAAGACCAGGCAUUUCUACUUCUUUCUGUGUGCUUCUCUUCUGGCUCUGCUCUGGACUGCUAUGUGAAAGAAAAUUCCAUUUUUUUCCAUUACAGUCAGUCAUCUCAGUCAAGCUGUAUCCCCAACUAUCCGUAUAUGGGACAAUGGCAUGGUUAAAUUUGUAUCAGAAUCUCAGUUAAUGCCACAAUAUGUCUACAAGUAUUUUUAGUAGGACAAUGUCCUACUAAAUGAAGAGAAGGAUUCAUUGAUUCAAUUUCAGUAUGUUUAGACUGUUACUAAUAAGAAGAUCAUGAUCAAUUUCAGGCUAUGCUUUAGAAACACUGCAACAUUUGAGAGUUUUAGCUAGCCAACCUCAUAAAUGCAAAGUAUGUAUGAUAAGAUUUGCUUUUGGCUCUGGCUUGGCCCCUGUCAGGAGACAAGAGGAGAUAAGAGUAGGGGAAAGAAUAGGAUAGGAGAUGUGGCAUAUCAGACAUCACAGAUAAGAACAAGAAUGGAAAUCUUUAGUAAGGCUCUUAUUGUCAAAGAACUUUCCCAGUUGGGCAACAGAUCCUCAUUGUGAUUAAACAUUUGGAGUCCUCCUUCCCUUCAUGGGUUAGGAAAAUCCUAGAUUUCAGAGGUCUUCCUGCUCAAUGAGAGUGUAAGGGCAACUCUUCUACAUUCAAUCUGAUGGGUAUGAACAGAUAAAUCUCUUUGAAAAGCCAGUGAGUAUAUGAACAAAGUACAUAAUUACAGAAAGGGGAAAUGCUUCAUAGCAAGUUCUAUCAAGAAUUACUGAAACCUCUUGGUACAAUUACAUUUCAUUAUGAGAUUUUCCCCUCAUUGAAAUAUAGCCCUCUAGACUUAUCCUGUGGUAUCUUGAUUAUUUCUGGAUGAAUAAUAUUUAUAAAAAUUUAUUUUAUUAGAAGGAACUGGGUAUGGUAAUGUCCAAAGGCACGGAAUAUUAAAGGAAGUACUUAACUCUUCUAUUUAAAAUUGGAGUUCCCAUUGUGGCCCAGCGGAAACAAAUUUGUUUGUUCAACCUGAGGAUGCAGGUUCAAUCCCUGGCCUCACUCAGUGGAUCAGGGAUGGUGUUGCCACCAGCUGUGGUGUAGGUUGCAGAGUCAGCUUGGAUCCCUGUUCUCUUGGCUGUGGCGUAGGCCAGCAUCUAUAGCUCUGAUUCGACCCCUAGCCUGGGAACUUCCAUGCGCUGUGGGUGUGGCCCUAAAAAGCAUAUGUUUAUAUAUGAUGAUGAUAGUAUAUUAUAUUUUUGUAGUUAUCAAUAUUUAUGUCACUUUUGUUAUUUCUUUUAAUUCCCAAAAUACUUUAUGAACUAAGUAUUCUUAUUACCUCCAUUUUACAGAUGAAAGCAGCUUGAAGAAUCAACUCACUUGCUCAAAUCCAAUGGUAGCAAAUGACAUGCAUAUUUUUCCCUACCUCUAAGUUCAGUGCUCUUCUAGCAAAGCACAUCAGCCUCCCAUUUUCAAUAAUGAAUAAGUAGUAUUUGAUUUUCUGGGUUUCUAUGAAUAGUAGGUAAUUUUCAUUGCUUGUCAAAGCUUUCUGGCCUUGCUGCUUCAUUCAAUCAAAGUUUAAUAAUGUGACCUCCUUGAGGUAUACUAUUAGAAAAUAAAAUUAAUUAGUUGAAGCCCAGUGGUGCAGAUAACCUAAGAAACAACUGGUUCUCCCUUAGGACAUGGACCUGAUACAGGGCUAAUUUUGCAGCACAGAUUUCUUUCUUUCUUUUUUUUUUUUUCCUUCUAGUAGGAAAAUAACUCAUAUUCUUGUAAUAGACAACUGCACAAGGAAUUUAUUUUUAAAUACGCUCUUUAAAGGUUAAAUGGCUGUUAAGCUGGUUUUCUAAACUAAUACAGCAGAUGAGUCUUCAAGACUGGGGACAGCUGUCUGUUCUUUUACAUCACUCUCUCGACAGUGAAUCUCAGAGACAUGCUGGCAAAAAAACAGGAAAUCAGUUUCAGCCAAAUUCCCACAUUUCAGAGUCUUGCUGAUGAGAGCAGGGAAAGAAUCUCUUGACAAGGUGUGGGUGGGUGAUCAAGCCUGUGUAUACAGUGCAUUGCAAGCUCACACUUGUCUCAUUCUAGAGAAGGACUAUUUUCAUGUCUAGUGUUUGUGUUUUCAAUAAAUAUCAACUACUUGAAAAGCCAGUGCUUCGAGAAAAGAAUCAAGUUUAUCAACAGUGAAUUGUGAUUUGAAAAUCCAGCAGUCACAUUAAAAACUCUCCAAAGCUCAACUGGUUUUUAUUUAUUUAUUUAUUUAUUUGUCUUUUUGCCUUUUCUAGGGCCGCUCCUGCAGCAUAUGGAGGUUCCCAGGCUAGGGGUCCAAUCAGAGCUGUAGCCGCCAGCCUACACCACAGCCACAGCAACACAGGAUCUGAGCCAUGUCUGCGACCUACACCACAGCUCACAGCAAUGCCAGAUCCUUAACCCACUGAGCAAGGCCAGGGAUCAAACCUGCAACCUCAUGGUUCCUAGUCGGAUUCGUUAACCACUGAGCCAUGACAGGAAUUCCUCAACUGAUUUUUAAAACUACAGAC